AGUAGCAAUUGAGGUCAAUCUAGAAAUCUCGAGUAGAGUGACCGUGUUGUCACUUGUGUUCAGUCAGAGCUAGGGAUUGAGAAGGUAACCUGUGUAAGCUGCGCGUAAGACUGAUGCUAGGCGAGAUUGCCAUGGAGAUGUCUGUGAGAAUGGCUAUGGUUAGAGUUGAUUUAUUUCAAUUCAGUUGUAGAUAGAUUUAUUUAUUUGGUUGUCAGUUACUCUUCUUAUCGAGGUUUAACUGAUAAUGUAGUUUAAGUUGUAAUAAGAUUUAAAGUUUUGGUUUCUGAUUUCAAUGCUGUAACCUAUUAGCGAUCCUGUUUUUAGGGGGUCAAAGUGAUUUUGAUUUAAAUCUCUUUUAAAA